rnacentral:rRNA from 1 species
GACGAACGCUGGCGGCGUGCUUAACACAUGCAAGUCGAACGCUGAAGCUUGGUGCUUGCACUGGGUGGAUGAGUGGCCAACGGGUGAGUAAUACGUGAGUAACCUGCCCUUGACUCUGGGAUAAGCCUGGGAAACUGGGUCUAAUACUGGAUACUACAUGUCACCGCAUGGUGGUGUGGGGAAAUGGGUUUACUGGUUUGGGAUGGGCUCACGGCCUAUCAGCUUGUUGGUGGGGUAAGGGCUCACCAAGGCGACGCCGGGUAGCCGGCCUGAGAGGGUGACCGGCCACACUGGGACUGAGACACGGCACAGACUCCUACGGGAGGCAGCAGUGGGGAAUAUUGCACAAUGGGCGGAAGCCUGAUGCAGCGAAGCAGCGUGAGGGAUGACGGCAUUCGGGUUGUAAACCUAUUUCAGCACGGAAGAAGCGAAAGUGACGGUACGUGCAGAAGAAGCGCCGGCUAACUACGUG